rnacentral:rRNA from 1 species
CAGUCGCCGCGGGAAUACGGAGGGAGCUAGCGUUGUUCGGAAUUACUGGGCGUAAAGCGCGCGUAGGCGGUUACUCAAGUCAGAGGUGAAAGCCCGGGGCUCAACCCCGGAACUGCCUUUGAAACUAGGUGACUAGAAUCUUGGAGAUGUCAGUGGAAUUCCGAGUGUAGAGGUGAAAUCCGUAGAUAUUCGGAAGAACACCAGUGGCGAAGGCGACUGACUGGACAAGUAUUGACGCUGAGGUGCGAAAGCGUGGGGAGCAAACAGGAUUAGAUACCCCCGUAGUCCCUGUCUCUUAUAC